rnacentral:rRNA from 1 species
UACGUAGGGUGCGAGCGUUAAUCGGAAUUACUGGGCGUAAAGCGUGCGCAGGCGGUCUGUUAAGACCGAUGUGAAAUCCCCGGGCUUAAACCUGGGAACUGCAUUGGUGACUGGCAGGCUUUGAGUGUUGGCAGAGGGAGGUAGGAAUUCCACGUGUAGCAGUGAAAUGCGAUAGAGAUGUGGAGGAAUACCGAUGCGAAGGCG